rnacentral:rRNA from 1 species
UACGUAGGGUGCAAGCGUUAAUCGGAAUUACUGGGCGUAAAGCGCGCGUAGGCGGCUUUGUAAGUUAGAGGUGAAAGCCCGGAGCUCAACUCCGGAACUGCCUUUAAAACUGCAUCGCUUGAAUCCAGGAGAGGUGAGUGGAAUUCCGAGUGUAGAGGUGAAAUUCGUAGAUAUUCGGAAGAACACCAGUGGCGAAGGCGGCUCACUGGACUGGUAUUGACGCUGAGGUGCGAAAGCGUGGGGAGCAAACAGG